rnacentral:rRNA from 1 species
AGUGAACGCUGGCGGUAGGCCUAACACAUGCAAGUCGAACGGCAGCACAGUAAGAGCUUGCUCUUACGGGUGGCGAGUGGCGGACGGGUGAGGAAUACAUCGGAAUCUACUUUUUCGUGGGGGAUAACGUAGGGAAACUUACGCUAAUACCGCAUACGACCUACGGGUGAAAGCAGGGGAUCUUCGGACCUUGCGCGAUUGAAUGAGCCGAUGUCGGAUUAGCUAGUUGGCGGGGUAAAGGCCCACCAAGGCGACGAUCCGUAGCUGGUCUGAGAGGAUGAUCAGCCACACUGGAACUGAGACACGGUCCAGACUCCUACGGGAGGCAGCAGUGGGGAACAUUGGACAAUGGGCGCAAGCCUGAUCCAGCCAUACCGCGUGGGUGAAGAAGGCCUUCGGGUUGUAAAGCCCUUUUUUUGGGAAAGAAAAGCAGCAGGUUAAUACCCCGCUGUUCUGACGGUACCCAAAGAAUAAGCACCGGCUAACUUCGUG